rnacentral:pre_miRNA from 1 species
UGUAUACUCCCUCCGUUCGGAAUUACUUGUCUCGGAAAUGGAUGUAUCUAGAACUAAAAUAUGUCUAGAUACAUCCAUUUUUGCGACAAGUAAUUCCGAACGGAGGGAGUAAUAU